ACAAAAUAAAAAUAUUUUCUUCAGGAUCCACCAUCCCGAGUUCGAUACCCGGCCGCAGAUAAAAAUUUAUUAUAUAAUACAAAAGUACAAUACGUAUUACAUUAGUACAAAAAUGUUUUUUUUAACAUUAGUUAUUCACUAUGCUUGAUGGGGGAAUGUGCUGAUAUAAUAAUAAGAAUAAUGAUGCAGAUACUUAAAUUCAUUGUAAUAAAUCCCGUCAUAAGAAAACAAGAUGUAAGUUCUUAUAGAUCGUACUUGUUUUAUGGUUGUCUUAUAGCUAUAUCUAUAUAACAAUCAAGUUACGCUGGACACUACUAGUUUCGCUAGUAGCGACACGUAGAACUAAUAUAUAGUGUGUAAAUCAGGGUCAGAGUCAGUCGUGAUGCGACAGCCAGAGCAAGCAGUUUUCUAUUAGUCAGUAUACUUUUCAUUAUAUUUUAUGUAUUAAUUCUUUCCUAAUAAAAAUCUAACAAAUUUUUUAAAUUACCAUUUCAAAACAAGAAGUUAUACUCGUGUUUAGAAGAUCUAAUAAUUUUAUGGCAAUAUAGUUCGGUAUAUAGUAUAUAUAAAUGGCAUAAACGCGGUUGGAACAAUGUAAUCCCUACUUGAGUUGUUAGAAUAUUGCAAAGUGAAUUGUGUGUUAUAUUGAUAGUCCGUUAAUCAUAAAAAGAGCAUCGAUAUUUGAAAAAUGCUGGUUAAACAUUUAUGAAUAUGAGGAGUAAAGAAAGUGAUGAAGCAACCUUCAAAGAAUUUUGACACACCAAGGAGAGAGAAAAGUACACAAAUUUGAUCUACGUACGAACAGCAAUAGACGUAAUUAACAUUAAACUACAUAUGAAAUCAGCGUAAGAUAUGUAGUGACAAAAACUGAAAGAAAAUACACAAAUAUGGCCGGAAUUGAAAGAAGUAGACUGGGUUUAUUUCUGCAAUAUAUUAGUUGGUUAAAAGAAACAUAUUAACAUAUAUUUCCUUUACGAAUAUUAACAUAUUACGUUGGUUCUGAAUAUGGGGAGUAAAGAAAGACGUUAAGGAAUAUUCCGCGAAUAUAUUGAGCAGAAAAAAAUGUAAACAAAUUAAAUCUAUAAAAGAGUAACUGAACUCAAUAACAUUAGAGGACAACGAUGGUCAAUAAAAAAGCAGUGUUGUUAAAAAAAGUAAUGACAAAGAUAAAGAUACGACCAAUAACAACGGAGAGAACAAUACUGAAAACGCAGUUGUGGCACAAAAUUUUUAAGAGAUAACAAAAUAUUAUGCAAAUUCGAUCGGAUUAAAGUAGAUCUCGAUCUGGAGCGAUUAAUUGAAAAUUACGACGAAUAUACGAUUUCUGUAUGAGAGGCCCGAUACAGGAUUGAAUCAUUAUGAAUUUGUAGAAUAUAGAAAAGUGACAAUACGGUGAUGCUAUCAUUUCCUCCUGAGUCCAAGGUUAUAUGCGUAAAGGCACCCAGGAAAAAUAAGAUAUGUAUAAAAGUAUUAUUAUAAGUUAGAUGCUCGCACAAAAGCAGGCAAGGAAACAAAUGAAUAGAUUGUAAACAGUAACAAAGAACAUACGGUUCCAAAACUAUUUUUAACCUCUAUCGGACCUCUAACAAGUUACUAUGCGAGCAAUCGUUUCAUAAUAAAAAGCGUGACAUCCAUGAAAUAGGACUGACAAAACAAGAACGUGUUUAAAAUAUAAAGGUCAUAUAGUUAGUAAGUCCACAAAACCGAAGAAUAAUGUACGUUUUUAAUAUAAUCAAAUAUGUCAUUAUGUGAAUGUUAAUAGAACGGGAAUAGACGUAUCUAGAAGAAAAUUUCGAAAAGUUAAUAAGACUCGAAUACGGCAAAUAAGAUAUUAAUAAGAAAAUCUGAGUACAAACCGAAUUAUAACAAUCAAUCUCUAGAUAUUUACUAACAACGGAUGAUAAAAGCAGGAUGAUCAUACCUUUAUUAAAUAUUAACAGCGAAGAUUUCAUGGUCCACGAAGAGACAGUCAUUAAUUGGGGAUGACCAAUAAUACCUAAUGAGAAAUGAAAAGUUAACAAAGAACUCAUUACAUUGAGAGAUAGAUUCGAUAUCUACAUUACAUUAUGAGGUGUUUUACAUCAGAAAUGACAAGAAGAACAGGAAAUAAUACUACAACUGAUGGGAGCUUACACAACCGAACAGAAUGAUUCUCCAUUUUCCAAUCCCGUGAAGAUCAAUAAAAAGAUAGGCGACAUUUAAAUGUCUAUAAACUACUGGACGGUAACACGUAAAAUUGUUAAAUAACCCUUGGGAAGAAGUAGAAAAUCAAUUGGACAGACUGCGAGAUAUCAAGUAUUAUACUAUACUUUAUUUUAGUAUUUAAUGAUUAUCAUGUAUCGACAUCAGAAACUAUAUCGGUAACUAUUGAAGACUGAUGGUUAAAAAAUCCUAGUAUAUUACUGUUUUAAGCAUAUUCGGCAGAUCUUAUCAGUUCAUUAGAAUGUCAUAUGGUUUGUAAUGAGAUCACCGUGUUUAAUCGACUCAAAAGUAACACCUAUACGGUAUCUCCUUUGAGACGAACUCUAUUACUACGUCUUUAUACUGAUUCUUCAAUUUGAAGAGGGAACCUUAGCGGAAUAUUCCAGUUCAGUUUUUAUUUUAAUAUUUCUGUGAAUUAUCUGCGUUUACGUUAUACAGGGUUAGUGAUCUUUUAUGAAGGAUAGAUUUGUUACAGUAUGUGAUUAUUAUAAAUAAGCGGUCAGAAUUAAGUUCUAAGUACGUAUUAGUUUUAUAUUGUGAUCGAUUUAAAUCUUUUGAAAAUCUUGUAGAAAUCUUCCUUAUCAGGAGUUUUAUUACAAGCUAGUGACCAUCAGAUAGGUUCACCUAUCGAAAGGAUAAUCAGAUUAAUUUUGUAUAAAUAUUCAUUUCGUAUAUUAACUCGUCAAGAUAUUAUAAGGAUUCCCAGUUCGAACACUUUAUGUUAUAAUGGUUUGUUGCAAUGAAUUUCGUACUUAUUGACAGAUAGAGAUUGCUCCACUGAUCUCUUGUGAUUCUUGGCUUUAGAAUGAAUUAUUAUGUGUUUUUGCAGUAACUGUAAUAGUUUUAAAGUAAUCACAUGAUUACUAUGAUUUAUUGUUCACAUGGUAUUUAAUUUCAUUCUUGUGUCAGUCAUCAUUUGUUUUAUUUGUCGGAUGUUUCGGAGACUAACACAAUAUUGAUUUUAUGCUUCUAUAUGAAUGCUUUUGUAUCUUGAAUCAUGUAUUGUUAAUUAUUAGUAUUCCAGAUUGCUAAUUUUAGUUCUACAUCUAUUAUUUCUAUUAUUCAUUAGUAGCGUAUUUGUUAGAUUCUCUUUCAACGAGAUUAAAACUGAUCAUUAGAGCGAUAGAAAUCUCAUUACAUUUCUGGUAUUUAAUAUGGUCCAUAUAACUGGUAAAUUUAUUUCAUAGUUAAAUGCAUAGAUCUAUUUAUUUUUAAUUUUUGCAAGCAACUUGAAACUAUUAUAGUUCUUCUCAAGCGCAAUGUAAAAACAAAUAUAGGAAAAAUUGUUCCGAUGUUCAACCGAUUGGUCAUAUCUAAAAUUCGUACAUUCCAUAAUUUGAUUCUUGCUUAAUUGUUCUUCAAAUGUAUAAGAUAUAUAUAUUAAGCAAUAGUCCACUUCUUCUCCCAAGAUUUUCUAUCCAGUACCCGCAUGAUAUUUGAUUCUUUUUUAAUAACUUUUUUAAAGUUAUUGAGAUCAAAAUAUUAUAUAAAUCUUUCAAAAUAGUAAACUUGAUCAUUAAUACUACGAACGGUUCUUGUAUUUGCAAGUACUAACAAAUCUAUUAAACUCUCAUGCAUUGUUUCCCCCGAAAUUAUGCUAUCUGCACUGUUUCCUAAACCGGGAUAUGUAAUUUCCUUUUAUAUAAAAAAACAUUUUUCUAAUUUCUAUCUCCAUUUUAACAUUUGCAAUGCCCAAAUCUUCUCAAUUUAUCUUUAAUAAGAAGAAAAAGGAUAAAUAGAAAUUCCUUAACACUUUACCGGCCGCACGUCUCGUAAAAAUUUAUUCGCUUGACGCCGGCAGUGCUAAUUCGGAUUACUUGGCUUUUCGCACAAAUACUUAUAAAAACAAAAAACUUAUUGACGAAUGUAACUUAUUGUUACCUAAACAAAACAACAACAGAAUGCAAAAGAUAAUAAAGAACUGUCGCCGGCCAGUGAGCGAUACUAUGCACACACCACUGUAGUGCACACGCCAGCUGUUGGCCGCUAUUUCGCGUACACCACUGUGGUGCCGUCGGCCGUUGGCCGCUAUUUUGCGCACGACACCACUGUGGUGUCAUUGGACGGCAUAGUGUUAAUAUAACUAAAAUUAAAUGAGCAAUUAAUUUGUGCGAUGAAUGGGAAGAGAUUGACAUAACUUAAUGAAAACACGAAAAGAAUGAAAAUGUUAUUAUAAGAAUUGUAGAAAAAUGAAAUUAUAUCAAUAAGAUGAACUAGUUUCGAUUUGGAUCAACAUACCUGCUAUCGUUUAAAGUAAAACAAUAGAAUCGAAAUAUAAAGGACCCUACGAAAUCGUGAAGAUUAAAGAUAACAAUAAUUAUCUGAAAGAAGAUAAUCAAUUAGAUAUAGUCCUAUCAACUAGCAUUACUUGUUCUAGUGUUCCUAUUGGUAUACAAUAGUUCACCCCUAUUUGUUAGAGUCUAUUUCGUGAAUAUACGUAAUGAUACCUUCAUUAUUAACUAACUGUUUCUCUCGCGUGAUAAUGCGUGAUAAUUCUGGAAAGCAUUGAUAGCACUAAAUUUAAUCAGAUAUAACUUCGCAAAUAUGUUAAUUGAAAAUUCUGAUCGUAAUCUUCUAUGUUCCUUUUAUGUGACGUCUGUCGUCUAAUAGAUAAAUCGCCUGAAUUCACGAAAUCGUAUACAUCUUUUCGUGACCAAAUUUCGAACACCCCGUCAUAUUCGUAAAGCAAAGCAAGCUGUCCGUAUGCUUCUUUAUUUUGACCGUCUAUAAAAUUUUCUUUUCUCUCCUCGGACCGUACUUCACGUUACUCGUACAUUUACGACCUUUCCCCCUGUCAUUCGUUUGAAACCAUGCAAUUUAUUCUAAAUGUUAGAUUUCCUCAACAUUUCUAAUGGACAAUUCGAUAGAGUCUAAAGUGUCAAUAAAAAAAAUUUCAUCUCGAUUGGCUAAUAAUAUUUAGAGUUUAACUGGAAAAUUACAAACAUGUACUAAGACUUUUAUAUUAAUAAUUAAAUAAUUAUUAUCACCUUAAUAUUCUUUUCUACUAAAUAUUAACACUCUGAAACAUGUACCUCUGAUAACACUGAAUUUAAUUAGAUAGAAUAAGGCAACAACCUAUGAUAAUUGAAAAUUCUGAUUGUGACCUUUUGUGUGACUUUUAUGUGACACUUUUAUUUGUCGUCUAAUCGAUAAAUCGACGGAAUUCACGAAAUCAAAUAAAUGUCUUCGUGACUAAAUUUCGAACUUGUAACAAAGGAUUCGUGAAUUUAAGCAGGUUGUCCGUAUGCUCUCUUAUUUUGACCACCUACAAAAUUUCCUUUUCUCUUUAUCGGACCAUUCUUCGCAUUGUUCGUACAAUCACCAUUUCUCCAUCUUUCAUUCGUUUGAAGCCGUAUGAUUUAUUUCAAAAGUAAGAUUUCCUCAACAUUUCUAAUGGACAAUCCGAUAGAGUCUAAAGUGUCAAUAAAAAAAAUUUCAUCUCGAUUGGCUAAUAAUAUUUCGAGUUUAACUGGAAAAUUACAAACAUGUACUAAAGCUUUUAUAUUAAUAAUUAAUUAAUUAUUGUCCCCUUAAUAUUCUUUUCUACUAAAUGUUGACAUUCUGAAAGAUGUACCUUUGAUAACACUGAAUUUAAUUAGAUAGAAUAGUACAACCACCUAUGCUAAUUGAAAAGUCUGAUUUGGACCUUUUAUGUGACUUUUAUGUGACAUUUGUCGUCUAAUCGAUAAAUCGCUGGAAGUCACAAAAUCAAAUAAACGUCUUCAUGACCAAAUUUCUUACUCGAACUGGCUGAUUUGUAGGAAAACCCGUUAUCCAUGUUGUAUUUCAUAUGCUAUCAUUUCUAUCAACGAUUUAUUCUAAUUAUCGUAGUAAAUUUGCUCGUACUACGUCAUACAUUAUAUGACCAAAAUUCAUAUAUAUGCCAAUAAAUCCGUACACACACAUUGACUUCAAAAAUAAUUGCUUUUCUAUAGUUCAUUUGCGGAUCAUUUAUUGGAUCUACGAGAUCAUGAGCUUAUUUGACCGCACUAAGAUAUGGUAUAGCAUAAUAGUUUGAUAUUACUAUGUCCAUGACUAUACUUGUUUAUUCAAGAUUAAACAAAAUUGUACAUUUGUACGACUUGAGCAAUUUAUACAAGUAAAGAAACGUUUGCGAAGGACGAUAUUUUUCUUAUAAAUAACCAAUUAUUAGUUACUUUACACGAUUUACUUUGUCUUUACGUAUUUACACGAAAUUAAUUUUUACAUGACAUUUCAAACGAUCAUAUAUAGUUUUUUUUUUUUUUUUUUUUUUUUAUAUAUAUCUCCCAGGAAUUUUCCCACAAUUUGUCACGUGAGGCAUUUGGCGAAUUGUUUUACUGAAUUGAGGGUAACACAUGAGUACUGUUCCCAGUGGAAUAGCACUACUACAAUAUCCUGUCGUUUCAGACUUGCGUAACUAGAUAAAUAUUUCCAAGAAUAAUACAUAACCCUUAAGAUAAAGUGCCGCGAAGAAUGAAGAGACGCACUUGUGUCACACAAUCAUUUUUCAAAAUUAGAUAAAUGGCUCUAUAUAUGUUGAAAUGUUUUCUCCUGUACUUUUUCUCCUGUUCCAAUGAUAUUUAACGUUCUUUUUCUUUAAUUUGGUUGAAAUAAAUAAUUCGAUUACUUCGUAAAUCAUUUUACGAAUCUUUGAAAAUAUUUAACUCAACCUAUAAUACUACGUGUUUUCGUAUCCGCAAAUACUGGCUGAACUCUUAAACAAUAAACUUUCUUUUCCCCAAAACUAUGUCAUCUGCACUAAAUUAAAAUUCCAAAUAUUUCAUUACGUAAAAAGUAACCCUUAUCUAACUUCAAUAUGACAUUUGAUGUUUGCACGAAAAAUCUCUCCUAGUUCAAUGAGAAAGGAACAGCUACAGAUAGAAAUCCGUUAACAUAAAAAAUUAAGAAUCUAAGUGAGCAUUUAUGCCACGAUGGACCAUAAAUAUAUUAGAUUAUGUAAGAUUUCACUCUCUCUGAUCAGCAAUUUGUUAAACCUCAUCCACUCAAGUUUUUUUUUUAACUCUCAGGAAUUUCUCCGCAAUUUAUCAUGUGAGGCAUUCGGCGAGUUAUUUUACUGAAUUUGAGAGUAGCAUGUGAGUACUAUUCUCAGUGGAAUAGCACUAUGGCAAUAUCCAGCUAUUUAUCAUUUGUGUAACUAGAUCUUGAGGCUUUUUUUUAAGUUUUUUUGUUGUAUAAUUGUUGUAGAAAUAUUAUCCUAAGUAUCCUUAGCUAGCGCGUUAAAAUGGUUUAAGGUCCUUGUUUUAUUUGUCAGAUAUCCGCCGUAUCUCCUUUGAUACUGGUGGAAUUUAUAAAUUAUUACUUAAGUCCUUGUUUUUGACAUACCAUGCCAUCUCCACAAUUGUGCGGAUUAUUAUUGAUUGCAUAGUUUUCAUUUUGGAGUUAUAGCUUUUAGCUACCGUGUCCCAUAACUUGAUGUACAUCCAAAUAGCCUUCUUAGCCCCGUGGGGCGCGUCGCACCUUAGGAUCUCUCCUAUAUCGGCAUUUGAUCACUUCCGUCGUGUUAGGUUCGUGUAAACUUUAUUAGCGAAACCACGCUUUCCGUCCAGAAUCUGAAAAAAUCCCAGGCGACCGGAGGACGAUUUCGCCAUGCACCUUACGGUACAUGCCCACGAAGAACCACGUGGAGGUACACCUCAUCGCUCGGCCUAGCAAUGGUCCGGCUGUAGCACGUGAACAUAAUAGAAAAAUGCGCGUGGACGUUAAUUUAACUCACAUGCUGAUCGCACUACGAAGACCUCGAAUAAUCGAGUAGUUCAAACACUCUCCGUCGGUCAUGUAGACCAAAAUUCACCUGAUAUAUAAUUAGGUCGGGUGUUUCGAGAAGUUAUUUAUCAAGAAUGAAAGCAAUUUUAUUACUGGCAACAGUUUUAAAUCUUUUUUCAUUUUCAUUAUCUUAUCCAAACUAAUUUCAAAGCGUACCAGGAUUUCCAAUUAAUUCCGAUACGCCGCUACUGGUCUUAUAUCUCCUUUCUUCUCCUUUUCAUAUCUAGUCAACCAUUUUCCAGUCAUGAUUCGGAAGGGGGAUAAAUCCUGAUAAAGUCGGCUUGUUAUCAUAAAAAAUAGAAAAAACCAACUACUACUUACAACUAUAACGUAAGGCACAUUACGUAGCAUAAGGGGUAUAAUCUGAAGCCACUCUCUCAAUGCUGCUACAUUUUGAAACCUUAUUUCUCACAGACAACAAUAUAAAAAACAUCUUAGUAUAUUUUCCAAAACCAAAAUGAGGAAACAAUAUUAUUAAUUGUUAAUUAUAUAAGGAAAGAAUUUGCACUGAUUUAUUUUUACAAUUUUUAAAUCACUUAUAUGUAUAUAUAACAAUAUUGUACAUUUAUUUUAUUUAAUCAAUUGCAUAUUAUGGAAAUGUGGAUUUUUAAGAACACAAAAAGAUCUCUUCGUGGAAAGAAAUCACAUGAGGUUUCAAAGCAGGCCUCGAGAGGAUGUCCACAAGGAUCGGUCCUCGGCCACUCCUGCCGAAACCUCAUGUUCGACCAGUUCCUUAGGAUCCUAGAGGAAUCCUCGGAAGUCAACGCGAUCGCGUACGCGGACGACCUACUCGUCAUCGGAGACUUCAGGAAAGAACUCUAAGAGAAAGGAAAUCGAGUGGUUAACAGCAUCACCGGAUGGUACACGUCGGCGAAAUUGACAAUUUCCGAGCGUAAGACAAAAGCGAUCGUCCUUAUGAGCAAUUGUAUAAAAAAAAAACCCAUCGACAGAAGGGGAGGACAACGUCCGGAUAGAAAGCGGAAAAAGGCGAAAAAGACCGACCUAGCAAGUAGGUCUCCCACCAUAAAGAUAGGAAAUAAUAAUAUUAAAUUUAGGAAUUCAGUUAGAUACCUCGGGGUAUAUUUCGAUAAAGGGCUGGGGGUUACGACACACUGCCGUUACCUCAACGACAAGGUCGGCCCAUUGUUCGCAAAGCUAGAUAGGUUAGCAGCUAGGGAAUGGGGACUCCUCCACUGCGCCCUCCGAGUGAUCUAUCGAGGCGUGUUCACCCCUACGGUCACCUACGCGACAGCAGGAUGGUCUAAUCUCUGUACGGAAGGGGAUCUAAAAAAGUUAAGCACGAUAGCGAUCGGCCCUCAUCUCGGUCACAUCCGCAUAUCGCACAACUGCUACGGAAACCCUCUGCGUCGUAACAGCGGAGUCCACGAUAGAUCUCCAGUUACUGAAACGAAGGAGACUAUACGACAUUAGGAAAAAUAGGUGCACCGAGACAGCUACGCGAAAACUGGAAAGCACGAAGAUUAAGCAGGCGACAGCAAGACAGGUCGAUGAGGAAAUCUCAAGGGUUUGGCAGUCUAGGUGGGAGAACUCCUCCAAGGGAAGGACAACAUACGCGUUUUUCCCGGACAUCAAGAACAGAAUGGGUGUCUGUUUCGUCUCUCCUAACCAUUUCACAAGUCAGUUUCUUAUAGGGCACGGAGCCUUCAAGGCCAAGCUGACGUCGCUGAACAUCACCGCGGAAAGAGCAUGCGAGUGCGGCGAAGAACAUGGUUUCGCAUCACAUCAUCGACUGUCCGGUUUUCGAACCACAGAAAGUGGCUCUGGAAGAAAUUCUCCGUGAAAGGAGUUGGCCGGAAGCAGCGAGACAUCUUGUCUCCACGGCCGAGACCUUCUCCCUCUUCGCGGAGUUUUGCAAAGAAACCCUCAUCAUAAAGGGUCAUUAAUUCAUGAAUCCUGUUCAGCCGGAAUUGUCGGAGUUCUGGUGAUGUGGAUGGGUGCCUAUAAUCCUCUCGAGUUAGCCCAUUCCCGAACAGGAUAGGGUCGGAGAUGCUCGUACGCAUCUUCCUAUUUUUUUUUUUUUUUUUUUUUUUUUUUUUUUU